rnacentral:rRNA from 1 species
CCUACGGGCGGCAGCAGUGGGGAAUAUUGGACAAUGGGCGAAAGCCUGAUCCAGCCAUGCCGCGUGUGUGAAGAAGGCCUUCGGGUUGUAAAGCACUUUCAGUGGGGAAGAAAGCCUUGGGGCUAAUACCCUCGAGGAAGGACAUCACCCACAGAAGAAGCACCGGCUAACUCCGUGCCAGUAGCCGCGGUAAUACGGAGGGUGCGAGCGUUAAUCGGAAUUACUGGGCGUAAAGCGCGCGUAGGCGGUCUGAUAAGCCGGUUGUGAAAGCCCCGGGCUCAACCUGGGAACGGCAUCCGGAACUGUCAGGCUAGAGUGCAGGAGAGGAAGGUAGAAUUCCCGGUGUAGCGGUGAAAUGCGUAGAGAUCGGGAGGAAUACCAGUGGCGAAGGCGGCCUUCUGGACUGACACUGACGCUGAGGUGCGAAAGCGUGGGUAGCGAACAGGAUUAGAUACCCCAGUAGUC